rnacentral:rRNA from 1 species
CCUACGGGGGGCACCAGUGGGGAAUAUUGCACAAUGGGCGCAAGCCUGAUGCAGCCAUGCCGCGUGUAUGAAGAAGGCCUUCGGGUUGUAAAGUACUUUCAGUCGGGAGGAAGGUGGUGAGCUUAAUACGCUCAUCAAUUGACGUUACCGACAGAAGAAGCACCGGCUAACUCCGUGCCAGCAGCCGCGGUAAUACGGAGGGUGCAAGCGUUAAUCGGAAUUACUGGGCGUAAAGCGCACGCAGGCGGUUGAUUAAGUUAGAUGUGAAAUCCCCGGGCUUAACCUGGGAAUGGCAUCUAAGACUGGUCAGCUAGAGUCUUGUAGAGGGGGGUAGAAUUCCAUGUGUAGCGGUGAAAUGCGUAGAGAUGUGGAGGAAUACCGGUGGCGAAGGCGGCCCCCUGGACAAAGACUGACGCUCAGGUGCGAAAGCGUGGGGAGCAAACAGGAUUAGAUACCCUUGUAGUC